rnacentral:rRNA from 1 species
UGGGGAAUAUUGCACAAUGGGCGCAAGCCUGAUGCAGCAACGCCGCGUGAGGGAUGACGGCCUUCGGGUUGUAAACCUCUUUUAGCAGGGAAGAAGCGAAAGUGACGGUACCUGCAGAAAAAGCACCGGCUAACUACGUGCCAGCAGCCGCGGUAAUACGUAGGGUGCAAGCGUUGUCCGGAAUUAUUGGGCGUAAAGAGCUCGUAGGCGGUCUGUCGCGUCUGCUGUGAAAUCCCGAGGCUCAACCUCGGGCCUGCAGUGGGUACGGGCAGACUAGAGUGCGGUAGGGGAGAAUGGAACUCCUGGUGUAGCGGUGGAAUGCGCAGAUAUCAGGAAGAACACCGAUGGCGAAGGCAGUUCUCUGGGCCGUAACUGACGCUGAGGAGCGAAAGCGUGGGGAGCGAACAGGAUUAGAUACCCUGGUAGUCCACGCCGUAAACGUUGGGCGCUAGAUGUGGGGACCAUUCCACGGUUUCCGUGUCGCAGCUAACGCAUUAAGCGCCCCGCCUGGGGAGUACGGCCGCAAGGCUAAAACUCAAAUGAAUUGACGGGGUCAUAGCUGUUUCCU